UAUAACGAAAUGCUGUUAUUAUAGUUUUAUAUGCUGGUGUUACUUAGAAGGGAGUAUCAAACGUUCUACCCGAAGAGGUAUUGCUCGGUAUCAAUGCGGAUAUAAAAAAGCGCCUUUCGGCGCUUUUUUUGUGAA
rnacentral:sRNA from 1 species